GAGCACGUAGGUGGGUUUGUAAGUCAGAUGUGAAAGCCUUCUGUUCAACGGGAGAAUUGCAUCUGAAACUACAAACCUUGAGUAUAGGAGGGGAGAAUGGAACUUCUGGUGGAGCGGUGAAAUGCGUAGAUAUCAGAAGGAACGCCGACGGCGAAAGCGAUUCUCUGGCCUAUUACUGACACUCAGUGUGCGAAAGCUAGGGGAGCAAACGGGAUUAGAUACCCCGGUAGUCCUAGCCGUAAACGAUGGGCACUAAGUAGAGGGGUUUU
rnacentral:rRNA from 1 species